GCUCUGGUGGCCUAGCGAUUAGAGCACCUGCCUUAGAUAUAGGAGGGUGCUGGUUCAAACCCCAGUCUAGUCAUACA